AAUCCGUCGACUUUUGAAAUCGUGAGGGUUCAAGUCCCUCUAUCCCCA
rnacentral:tRNA from 29 species